CUUUUGUGGGAAAAACCCCUCUUCUUUUACCGCGAGCAAGCCUUCAGCCUCCGCUGGAACGUCAUUGUUCUUCAAUGUCAAAACACUUUUUGGCGGGAGACCCGUUAAAGGCGUCCAACGCGCCAGAGACGUAAAAAUCUGAACCACCACCACCGGAGUAAACACCCCGCAUUCAGAGUUAAAAGACUCCAAAGAAAAGACGUCUGGUUCGGUCGACUGAGGCUGAUAGGAUCCGUUGAUUUUAGGAGCACGGAGACUGGCACGAAAAAACCAACGACCUGAGGCAGAAGAUUUCGUCUCCCAAGUAGCGCUAAACAAAAUUCUUCUCUCACGCAACUCAUCCAGCGUCGGCUGAAACAAACAGAUAUCUCCCAUCUGGUAUCGGAAAACGUAUCCAAAAGAUCCAAUCAUUCCAUAACCCUCCAAGCACCACUUCUCACGCAAAGACUCGGUUGGAGGAAUUUGAGUACGAUUCAAAAAAAUCCUACUUUUCCGAGGAGCGUCGUAUAUCAGGGUCUUUUGACCCAUAUCGUCGUCGUUUCCAACCCCAGCCAAGUGCCCCUGGCUGCAGCCCGCAGAUCGAGGAGGGGCUUAUUUUCCCUCAAUGUGGGCGGGUCUCAACGUUGAGCCCGCGGGCUCCAUCUGGUGGCGGAGAUCCGACAGCACACAUUCUCAAACGUCA